ensembl:lncRNA
CUCUUUUGGUCAAAGGCUUUGCUUUUUGUAACCAAAUGGUUCGGUUUUAUUUGUUGUGUUUGUUUGUUUGUUUGUUUUUCAGGGGUGUGUUUUGGUAGAGGCUGUUUUCCAACGUGCCUCCUGGGAAGGUUUUGUAAGGACAGCUGUGGAAUGCGCUCUGUUUACCAACUUCUUGCCAUGGAAAACAAAGCUUUGAUUCCUGGGCCAUGGAAAACUUCUGCCGAUGAAUCCCCACCCCCUCUCUGGGGAGGAAAGCACAACAAACACUAAUGCCUCUUCGCCCUUUUAUGCCUGGCGUAUUAAUCACCGAGCAGGGCUCGCCGCGUCCCGCUCAGCCUGCGUUUGCCCUCUAACUACGGGGAGGAGUUCUGCUUUGUCUAUAUAAAGCUGCACUUUGCUGAACACCGUAACAGAACCAAACUUAGAGACUCCAUCACCCAUCCUCUGUGGGGAGAGCAGAGCAGCAGCAGCCAUGUUUGGGAUUGGGAAGAAGCUCGCCGAGGAAGCAACGCAACAGGCCGAGAGCGCUGCGCAGGCGGCAGUUAACACGGUGGGGCAGACUGUGCAGCAAGCAGUGGAGCAGGCCAAGGAUGCUGGUCAGAAAGCUCUCGAUGAGGUCUACAAGGUCGCUGAAACCGGUGAGAAAGCUGUAAAAAAUGUAGCAAAUCAAGCAACUGCCUGGGGCAAAAGCUUCGGACAAUGAAGAUAACGUAACACCACUGAAUGUAUUCUUAAAUAAAUAAAACCCCUACAGUGUA